CCCUGGUUCUCUUCCCCUCCACAAACUGCGAGUAUCCUCCAUCUCCCACCUUCUCCCAGUAAGAACAACAUACGGAGAGAGCCUUACUGCCAGUCAGGUCAGGUGGCUCUCAGGAGAAUUUCUGCUCUGCCUUUCAAGCCCCGGCCAGAUGAGGAGCCAGCCAUGGUUAUGUAGAAUUACCAAGAAAUGAAUGUUGAUUACCUAGUCAUUCCUGGUUUUCUCGCAAUUUUGUGGCUGAGGAAGGCUAUAUGUUAGCAAGCCGGCAAUGAGAACCGCCGCGCCUGCAACAAAGCCGGGAGGGAGGGUCGACGCCACGCUGAUGUACGGCAGCGGUAGAGUGAAAGCGUAGAUCGACAGCGGAACUGCAUCAAGAAAAGGCCAUCAUUAGUGAUCAGUUCGCUGCAAAGUGUGCAUGCAUACUUGCAUAUCUACUUGUACAAGGGAACAAUGACUAGUAAUCAGAAAUGGAAUGCUAGUUGAAAGGUUUA